rnacentral:rRNA from 2 species
AUGGACGCAAGUCUGAUGGAGCAACGCCGCGUGAGUGAAGAAGGCUUUCGGGUCGUAAAACUCUGUUGUUGGAGAAGAAUGGUCGGCAGAGUAACUGUUGUCGGCGUGACGGUAUCCAACCAGAAAGCCACGGCUAACUACGUGCCAGCAGCCGCGGUAAUACGUAGGUGGCAAGCGUUAUCCGGAUUUAUUGGGCGUAAAGCGAGCGCAGGCGGUUUUUUAAGUCUGAUGUGAAAGCCCUCGGCUUAACCGAGGAAGUGCAUCGGAAACUGGGAAACUUGAGUGCAGAAGAGGACAGUGGAACUCCAUGUGUAGCGGUGAAAUGCGUAGAUAUAUGGAAGAACACCAGUGGCGAAGGCGGCUGUCUGGUCUGUAACUGACGCUGAGGCUCGAAAGCAUGGGUAGCGAACAGGAUUAGAUACCCUGGUAGUCCAUGCCGUAAACGAUGAAUGCUAGGUGUUGGAGGGUUUCCGCCCUUCAGUGCCGCAGCUAACGCAUUAAGCAUUCCGCCUGGGGAGUACGACCGCAAGGUUGAGACUCAAAGGAAUUGACGGGGGCCCGCACAAGCGGUGGAGCAUGUGGUUUAAUUCGAAGCAACGCGAAGAACCUUACCAGGUCUUGACAUCUUUUGAUCACCUGAGAGAUCAGGUU